rnacentral:rRNA from 1 species
CAGUCGCCACGGUAAUACGUAGGUGGCAAGCGCUGUCCGGAAUUAUUGGGCGUAAAGGGCUCGCAGGCGGUUUCUUAAGUCUGAUGUGAAAGCCCCCGGCUCAACCGGGGAGGGUCAUUGGAAACUGGGAAACUUGAGUGCAGAAGAGGAGAGUGGAAUUCUACGUGCAGCGGUGAAAUGCGUAGAGAUGUGGAGGAACACCAGUGGCGAAGGCGACUCUCUGGUCUGUAACUGACGCUGAGGAGCGAAAGCGUGGGGAGCGAACAGGAUUAGAUACCCCUGUAGUCCCUGUCUCUUAUAA